ACUCUAAGGUGACUGCCGGUGACAAACCGGAGGAAGGUGGGGAUGACGUCAAAUCAUCAUGCCCCUUAUGACCUGGGCUACACACGUGCUACAAUGGAUGGUACAAAGGGCUGCAAGACCGCGAGGUCAAGCCAAUCCCAUAAAACCAUUCUCAGUUCGGAUUGCAGGCUGCAACUCGCCUGCAUGAAGCCGGAAUCGCUAGUAAUCGCAGAUCAGCAUGCUGCGGUGAAUACGUUCCCGGGUCUUGUACACACCGCCCGUCACACCACGAGAGUUUGUAACACCCGAAGUCGGUGGAGUAACCGUAAGGAGCUAGCCGCCUAAGGUGGGACAGAUGAUUGGGGUGAAGUCGUAACAAGGUAGCCGUAUCGGAAGGUGCGGCUGGAUCACCUCCUUU
rnacentral:rRNA from 1 species